rnacentral:rRNA from 1 species
AUGGUGCGAUCUAUGAUGUCUCUUACCGAUCUACCGCUAUCAUUUUGGGGUUAUGCUUUAGAGACUGCCACAUUCACUUUAAAUAGGGCUCCGUCGAAAUCCAUUGAGACGACACCGUAUGAAUUAUGGUUUGGAAAGAAACCUAAGCUGUCAUUUCUUAAAGUUUGGGGAUGCGAUGCUUAUGUCAAGAAACUUCAACCUGAAAAGCUCGAACCCAAGUCGGAAAAAUGCGUCUUCAUAGGAUACCCUAAGGAAACCAUUGGGUAUACCUUCUACCUCAGAUCCGAAGGCAAGAUCUUCGUUGCUAAGAACGGGUCCUUUCUGGAGAAAGAGUUUCUCUCGAAAGAAGUAAGUGGGAGGAAAGUGGAACUUGAUGAGAUGACCCCUCUCGAACCAGAAAGUAGCGCAGCACAAGAAAAUGUUUCUGUGGUGCCUGCACCGACUAGAGAGGAAGUUAAUGAUGACGAUCAUGAUCAAGUUACCACUGAACUUAGUAGGUCCACAAGGACACGUUCUGCACCAGAGUGGUACGGCAACCCUGUCCUGGAAAUCAUGUUGUUGGACAACGGUGAACCUUCGAACUAUGAAGAAGCAAUGGCGGGCCCAGAUUCCAUCAAAUGGCUUGAAACCAUGCAAUCCGAGAUAGGAUCCAUGUAUGAAAACAAAGUAUGGACUUUGACAGACUUGCCCGAUGAUCGGCGAGCGAUAGAAAAUAAAUGGAUCUUUAAGAAGAAGACGGACGCGGAUGGAAAUGUUACCAUCUAUAAAGCUCGACUUGUCGCUAAGGGUUAUCGACAAGUUCAAUGA